rnacentral:piRNA from 1 species
UAAGACAAAUAAGGCAAGAAA